GACGAACGCUGGCGGCGUGCCUAACACAUGCAAGUCGAGCGGAGUCGAUCGACGGAAGCCUUCGGGCGGAAGAUGGUUGACUUAGCGGCGGAUGGGUGAGUAACGCGUGGGCAACCUGCCUCGAAGACCGGGAUAACAGCCCGAAAGGGCUGCUAAUACCGGAUGUGGUCAAGGAUCCGCAUGGAUUUUUGAUUAAAGGGGAAACCCGUUUCGAGAUGGGCCCGCGUCCUAUCAGCUAGUUGGUGAGGUAAAAGCUCACCAAGGCGACGACGGGUAGCCGGCCUGAGAGGGUGACCGGCCACACUGGAACUGAGACACGGUCCAGACUCCUACGGGGGGCAGCAGUGGGGAAUCUUCCACAAUGGGCGAAAGCCUGAUGGAGCGACGCCGCGUGAGCGAAGAAGGCCUUGGUUGUAAAGCUCUGUCUGGAGGGACGGAAGGAAGUGACGGUACCUCCGGAGGAAGCCACGGCUAACUACGUGCCAGCAGCCGCGGUAAAGUCACGUCG
rnacentral:rRNA from 1 species